rnacentral:rRNA from 1 species
UACGUAGGGUGCAAGCGUUGUCCGGAAUUAUUGGGCGUAAAGAGCUCGUAGGCGGUUUGUCGCGUCUGCUGUGAAAACUCGGGGCUUAACUCCGGGCCUGCAGUGGGUACGGGCAGACUAGAGUGCGGUAGGGGAGACUGGAAUUCCUGGUGUAGCGGUGAAAUGCGCAGAUAUCAGGAAGAACACCCGUGGCUAAGGCGGCUCUCUAGUACGGUACUGACGCUGAGACGCGAAAGCGUGGGGAGCGAACAGG